rnacentral:rRNA from 1 species
UACGGAGGGUGCGAGCGUUGUCCGGAAUCAUUGGGCGUAAAGGGCGCGUAGGUGGCCCGGUCAGUUCGUGGUGAAAGCGCGGGGCUCAACCCUGCGUCGGCCAUGAAUACUGCCGCGGCUGGAGCACUGUAGAGGCAGGCGGAAUUCCGGGUGUAGCGGUGGAAUGCGUAGAGAUCCGGAAGAACACCGGUAGCGAAGGCGGCCUGCUGGGCAGUUGCUGACACUGAGGCGCGACAGCGUGGGGAGCAAACAGG